rnacentral:rRNA from 1 species
UGGGGGAUUUUGCACAAUGGGCGAAAGCCUGAUGCAGCGACGCCGCGUGGGGGAUGAAGGCUUUCGGGUUGUAAACCUCUUUCGCUAUCGAACAAGGCCCGCUUAGGGUGGGUUGAGGGUAGGUGGAGAAGAAGCACCGGCUAACUACGUGCCAGCAGCCGCGGUAAUACGUAGGGCGCGAGCGUUGUCCGGAAUUAUUGGGCGUAAAGGGCUUGUAGGCGGCUUGUUGCGCCUGCUGUGAAAACGCGGGGCUUAACUUCGCGCGUGCAGUGGGUACGGGCAGGCUUGAGUGUGGUAGGGGUGACUGGAAUUCCAGGUGUAGCGGUGGAAUGCGCAGAUAUCUGGAGGAACACCGAUGGCGAAGGCAGGUCACUGGGCCAUUACUGACGCUGAGGAGCGAAAGCAUGGGUAGCGAACAGG